rnacentral:rRNA from 1 species
ACCCGCUGAACUUAAGCAUAUCAAUAAGCGGAGGAAAAGAAACCAACAGGGAUUACCUCAGUAACGGCGAGUGAAGCGGUAACAGCUCAAAUUUGAAAUCUGGCUCUUUCAGGGUCCGAGUUGUAAUUUGUAGAAGAUGCUUCGGGUGUGGCUCCGGUCUAAGUUCCUUGGAACAGGACGUCAUAGAGGGUGAGAAUCCCGUAUGUGACUGGCUGCCUCCGCCCAUGUGAAGCUCUUUCGACGAGUCGAGUUGUUUGGGAAUGCAGCUCAAAAUGGGUGGUAAAUUUCAUCUAAAGCUAAAUAUUGGCCAGAGACCGAUAGCGCACAAGUAGAGUGAUCGAAAGAUGAAAAGCACUUUGGAAAGAGAGUUAAACAGUACGUGAAAUUGUUGAAAGGGAAGCGCUUGCAAUCAGACUUGCGCGUUGCCGAUCAUCUGGGGUUCUCUCCAGUGCACUCGGUAGCGCUCAGGCCAGCAUCGGUUUGGGUGGUGGGAUAAAGGCCUUGGGAAUGUAGCUUCUUUCGGGGAGUGUUAUAGCCCUCGGUGCAAUGCCGCCUAUCCGGACCGAGGACCGCGCUUCGGCUAGGAUGCUGGCGUAAUGGUUGUAAGCGACCCGUCUUGAAACACGG